CCUGGUUAUCAGGGAGGCCGCCCUGGUUUCCAAGGUGGCAACCCUAAUCAUCAGGGAGGCGGACCUGGUUUCCAAGGUGGCAACCCUAAUUAUCAGGGAGGCGGCCCUGGUUUCCAAGGUGGCAACCCUAGUUAUCAGGGAGGCGGACCUGGUUUCCAAGGUGGCAACCCUGGUUAUCAACCAGGUAAUCCACCUUAUCAAGGAGGCGGCCCAGGUUAUCAGGGCGGCGGGCCUAGCUAUCAACAGGGAGGUCCCGGCUAUGCUGGAGGGCCACCUGGUUUCCAGGGAAGAGAUGUGCCCGGAAGGGAUGGCCAGUAGAAAAGCUGGUGUUAGAGAGCUUGUCUAGAGCUGAAGCAAAUAAUACAUAUGUCAACUCUCUGUUGUGGGACUUUGAGGAAGCCUCGAACUUAACCCUAGAUAAUU
rnacentral:lncRNA from 1 species